ACUAUGGUACCAAAGCGGAGUAGUCAGAAAUAGAACACUCUAUGAAGGUGAUAGACUGUGGCAUGCAGGGUUCUUCAGUGUGGAAAACAGAGGUAACUUUAGCUAGAUUAAGUAGGAGGAAUUUAUUUCCAGGUAUUAGUAACAUAUCUUUGUAAAGGGUGAAAUAAGAUUAAACUGGAACUUCUUAGAGAUAUUCUCAGAAUCAUUGCAUAACUAACCUGAAAAAGCAGCAAGAUUUCUACCACUGACAUAAGAGGCUUUCAGAGAUGAAAAUCUGUUGGAUGACACGCAGCUUACCCUUUCAAAGUUCCUCAAGGACCCCGGGGAAUGCAGCCAUCUGGAAUUUGCUGUCAUGCUGUGAUUUCUGCAGCAGGUGCACAGGAAACCCAGACAAAGAACUUUACAUUUGAAACUCCUGUGGUUCCCAGAUGGAGGUAUGGAGCCAGGAAACUCCUGCCUUUGAACCAUGCCCCUCACCGACCCAGGAAGAGAAGUCCCUCAUUUUGAUUGGUAAUUUUAACAUCCACAGGCAACUGAAAAAUUCUUCUAAGCAAACAUACCCUAGAAUAACCACAACGAGCCUUACUAAAGACUGGAAUAAAUAAUCCUUCAUGUGAAGCCAUAUAUGGAGAUCCAACAGAAACAAUAGCAAAUAGGGAAAAAUGACCUUUCCAAAUGAAAAAAGCAAGAGCCAGUGAUUGAAUGCAUGAGCUUUCAAAUAAAGAUUUUAAAAUAGCAAUUCUAAUAAAACUCAGCAAACUCUAAGGAAACAAAGAAAAUCAAUUCAAAACCUUAGAAAAAUUUAACAAAGGAGGCUGGGCCCGGUGGCUCACACCUGUAAUUCCAGCACUUUGGGAGGCUGAGGCAUGUGAAUCAUGAGGUCAGGAGAUUGAGACCAUCCUAGCCAACAUGGUGAAAUCCCACCUCUAAUAAAAUACAAAAAAUUAGCUGGGCAUGGUGGUACGAGCUUGAAGUCCCAGCUACUGGGAGGUUGAGGAAGGGGAAUAGCUUGAACCCAGAAUGCAGAGGUUGCAGUGAGCCGUGACAAAGCAAGACUCCAUCACACACACACACACACAUACACACACACACACACACACACACACAAUAACAAAGGAACUAAUAUAAUUUUAAAAACUAAACAUAACUUCUAGAAAGGAGAAAGAUAUUUGUUGAACUGAAAAAUGCAUUAGAGGCUCUGAACAGCAUAAUGGAUCAUGCAGAAGAAACAAUCAAUGAGCUCUCCUGGCCACCCAUGGUGAAAACCCAUCUCCACUAAAAAUACAAAAAUUAGCUGUGUUUGAUGGCACGUGCCUGUAAUCCCAGCUACUGGGGAUGCUGAGGCAAAAGAAUUGCUUGAACAAGGGAGUUAGAGGUGGCAGUGAGCCAACAUCAUACCACUGCACUCCAGCCUGGUGACAGAGCAAGACUCCAUCAGUUAAAAAAAAAAAAAACAGGAACACUCUUAUGAGCUCAAAGACAGGAUACUGGAAAAUAGAACCAGAUAAAAAAAAUUUUAAAAAUAUGGGAAGAAACAAAAUCCCCUGAAAGAUACACAGAAUAACCUUAAAAGAGAAAAUUUAGAAGUUAUUGGCAUUCAAGAGGGAUUUGAGGAAGAUAAAAAAAAAUAUUCAAAGAAAUAUUAACAGAAAGUGUUCCAAACCUAGAGAAAUCUAUAAAUAUACAGGUAUAGGAGGUCAGAGAUCACUGAACAGAUUUAAUCCAAAUGAAACUACUCCAAGGUAUGUAACAAUCAAAGUCUCAAAGAGGAAGGGUAAAGAGGAGAUCCAUAAAGUAGCAAGUUGGCAGGGGACCUAAAUGAGAUGAGUAAAGGUCACCUGAAGCAGACCACCCAGAGUCAAAACUCCUAAAUCUGAGGAACUUAGAAGUAACUGGAGUCCUAUUAUCUAAGAUGGUAUCUGGUUCCAGAUUUCUUUCCCAAAUUUAUAAGUAACUAGAAUUACUAUGCAUCUCUGGAAUGCAUGCAUGUCAAAACACAUUGUGCAACCCGUGCUGUCAUUAAGGCAUGAAAAUUUCUACAAAUGUAAUCACCUAUGUGGCUAAUACUGUCCAAAUUACCUUAAGCUCCUGCUUUAAUGUCCUUAAAUAACCCUAAGGAAAAAUUCACCAUGGUACACUCAGUCCUUUCUUGCUGAGAUGGCCCACUGUCCACUUCUGAAGUGUUAUUUUUUCUAAUAGAACUAUCAUUUUUCAAACCUAUACUGUUAGUAAAUUCUUCAUCCCAAAACAUGAGUUGACCACUUUCUGAUGCCAGGGUUCUGACACCUUAUCCAGAACAAAUAACAUAUAAAGGAGCUUUGAUUUUCCUGGAAAAAGACUUCUCAAUAUAAAAUAUAUAGACCAGGAGACAAUGUGGCAACAUAUUCAAAAUGCUGAAUGAAGAAAAUCUGUCAACCAAGGUUACUGUAUCCAUCAGCUCAUUCUUCAAAUAUGAAGAAGAGAUAGUGUCUCUUGCCCAGACAAAUAAAAAUAUAGGGUUUUUAUCACUGCUAGACUUGUCUACAUAGAAAUUAAAGCAUGUUCUUUAAUCUGAAAGAAAAAAAUUGCUAACAUACACAAAGAAAACAUUUGAAGCUUUAAAAUUCAAUGAAAAGGGUAAGUAUAACAACAAACCGAAUACUCCAAUACUCUAAUUGUGGUGUGUAAUCCACUCAUAUCGCUAGUAUCAAUAUUAAACAAAUCUGACAAAAAAUCAUAACUACAACUUAUUAAGAAAUAAACAACAUAAGAAGAUGGUAAUUAAGACAAUAAAAAGUCAAAAUGUGAGAAGGAUUGGGUUUUAAUGUAAAGUUCUUAGUCUUCCUUUUGUUUGUUCUUUUUUUCUAAUCAGAUUUAUCUUACCAUCUGCUCAAAAUAAUUUGCUUUAUCUAUAAGACUCUUUUUUCCAAGAUUUGUUGUAACCACAAAGUAAAAUCCCAUAAUAGAAUAAAAUUUAAAAAGCAAAAACUUAAGACGUAUUGCCAGAGAAAUAUCACUUAAUCACAAAGGAAGACAGAAAUAAGAGAAGAAUGGAACAGAAGAGUUACAAAACAACCGAAGAACCAGUAACAAAUGGUGGAUGUAAAUUGUUUCCUAUCAAUAAUAGUAUCAAAUGUACGUGGACUAAUAGUUCCAAUUAGAAGACAGAGUGGCCAAAUGGAUGGAAAAAUAAGACCUAUAUACGUGUACAAGAUAUCCACUUCACAUAUGAAGACACAUGUAGACUAAAAGUAAAGGAAUGGAACAAAAUAUGCCAUGCAAAUGGAAGUCAAGAAAGAUUAGAAGUGGCUAUACUUAUAACAGAUAAGAUAACCAUGUAAAAAGAGAGGAAAAAAGGUCAGUAUAUAAAGAUAAAGUAAUCAGUUCAGCAACAGGAUGCAACAAUUAUGAAUAUAUAUGCAUCCGACAUGUCAUAUAUAAAACAAACUUUAAUACUAAAAAAGACAUAGACUAAAAUACCUAAAUAUUAGUGGACUUCAAUAUCCCACUGUAAUUAAUGAACAGAUGAUUUCAACAGAAGUUCAACAAAGUAACAUGGAGUUGGUUGGGUGUGGUGGCUCAUGCCUAUAAUCCCAUCACUUUGGGAGGCCCAGUCAGGUGGAUCACAAGGUCAAGAGAUUGAGACCAUCCUGGCCAACAUGGUGAGACCCCAACUCUAUUAAAAAUACAAAAAUUAGCUUGGUGUGGUGGCAGGUGCCUGUAGUCCCAGCUACGUGGGAGGCUGAGGCAGGAGAAUCCCUUGAACCCAAAAGGCAGAGGUUGCAGUGAGCUGAGAUUGUGCCACUGCAUGCCAGCCUGGUGACAGAGAGAGACUCUGUCUCAAAAACAUAAACAUAAUACAUCACAUACACAUAAUUAAAAACAAAAAACUAUAUAUUCAUCUCAAUAGAUGCAGAAGAAGCAUUUAAUAAAAUCCAGCUUCCCUUUCUGAAAAAAAAAAUACCCUCAACAAAGUAGGCAUAGAAGAGACUUACCCCAAUUAAUAAAAGCCACAUAUGGCAAACCCAUAGUCAACAUCAUACUGAGUAGGGAAAGCUGAAAAUUUCCCCUGAGAACUGGAACAAGACAAGGAUGCUCACUUUCACCAAUUCUAUUCAACAUACUACUGUAAGUACUAGCUAGACUAAUCAGGAAAGAGAAAGAUAUGUUGUCCAAACUGGAAAUGAGAUAGUCAAAUUAUCACUGUUCAUCAAAGACAGGAUCAUAUUCCUAGAAAAUCCUAAGAACUCUGCCAAAAGAUUUCUAGAUUUAAUAAAUAAAUUCAGUAAAGUCACAGAUUAAAAAAUCAAUGUAUACAAAUCAGUAUCACUGCUAUACAUCAACAAUGACCAAGCUGAGAAUCAAAUAAAAUACUCAAUUCCUUUUAAAAACAGUUGCAUAAAGACAAAAACAAAACAAAUACAACCUAGAAAUAUACUUGACAAAGGAGGUGAAGGUUCUCUAAAAGAAGAAUACAAUACUGCUGAAAGAAUUUGUAAAUGACAUGAAUAAAUGGAAAUAUAUCCCACACUCAUGGAUUGGAAGAAUCAAUACACUGGAAGUUAUCGAACUGCCCAAAGCAAUCUAUAGAUACAAUUUAUAAUGUUUGAUACUUUCAAGUAUUGGUGACAACAUGUAGCAUGAGGAAUGUAAGGACCAAUAUUGGGAGUGUCUGUCAGGAUACUUGCACCAGCAUGUAACUGAUACAAGCAUCUAGAAAAACUGCCAUUAUUUAAUAUGUUGAAGAUACACAAAUAUGUUUUGUUUUAUUGCACUUCGCUGUUUUGCACUUUGCAGAUAUUGCAUUUUUCACAAGUUGAUGAUUUACGGUGAUCCUGCCUUGAGCAACUCUAUUGAGAACGUUUUCGAAGAGCAGGUGCUCACCUUGUGUCUGUGCCACAUUUUGCAGCUGUUGCAAUAUUUCAAAUUUUUACAUUAUUUAUAUAUCUGUCACAGUGAUUUGUGAUUAGUGAUCUUUGAAAUUACUAUUGUAAUUAUUUGGGGAUGACACAAACUUGUUACUAUAUAUGAUGGCAAACUUAUUUGUGCAGUUGUGAGAUAUGUAACCUGGGUGUUAUUUUUCUCUGAUGUAUUCCUUUUGAGAAGGCAAUCAUCUGCAUUUUUUACCAUGUAACCUGGUUAAGUUGGCCUCUUGCUUGUGUACCAGUACUUCCUGUUUUCCUUUAACUUAACCUUUGCUUUCAGGCUAAAAUAUUGAUUUCACAGCACAUCAUUUACAUUUUUUUCUUGUGGGUGAACUCAGUCAUAGGUAUGAAUUCAUUUGCUUAUAAGUGAAAAAUUAUCUGCUGCUUAAAGAUAAUCUUGCCUUUCUUUACUUCCCUAAGUUAGACAAUAGCAUACAGGAGGCAUUUUUCAGUUAGGCUAACAACUAAUCUAAUACAGCAUCCAUGUCAAGAUCAAUUUUAGUAUAUUUUAUGUUCUAUAUUUAGUAUAUAUCACAUCCUAUUAAUUUACAUUUUCAAAAUUUUAUUGUACAUAUUCUCAGAACACAGGCAGUAUCUGCAUUAACAACCACAGUAAUCGUGUCAGGUGAAACACUUCGAAAACAUUUUAACACUUGUUCUGAUAUUCUCAUUUGUUUGCCUCUUAAAUCAGUCCAACUUUUAUGUAAACACAUUGCAAAGCUAUCUCAGUCUUCAAGAGCUUGUUCACCAAUUGCUCUCACUGUACAAUCUAUACCUUAACAAUAUGAUACUACAUACUUUAUUGGACCUAGGACCCCUCUAAAAGAAUCACUCUAGCCUGCAUUUUUACAUUUUUCUUUAGGUAAUAAUUACACUCUUGUAAUGCCUAAGACAUCUUUUUUAGGAAAUAUCUCAAAAAGCAACUAGACCUAGGUUCAUUUAUUUUUCUCUUUCAUAUCUAUCUACUCUGUUCCCUAAGAUCUUCAGUGUUCUGCUAAGGAAUUCUCUGUCUUCCUCUGGUUUAACUAGGAUAUUUUCCUUUAGAAUUGUUUUAUGCCCUUGCUACUUACACUUCUCCUAUUAUGAAGGUAAAACUAAAUAAGUGUGUUUUAAAGCAGAUUCCAUUAUUAUUUGACUUCAUAAGAAAAUUCAAUUUGUAGAGAGAGACUCCACUGUGCACAUGUUUCAGAUUCCUUUUUUAGUUUUUGGUUAGCAAUAACUUCAAUAUGUUUUUGUCUUUACUGAAUCAAAAGAGAAGGCAUGCUGCCUUCAGAAUUAAGACUCCUGUUAUUUUCUCAUAUUUUCUGUUUCUUUUUCUUUUUU